rnacentral:lncRNA from 1 species
UCCUGAUGGGGUGUGCAUUUUUUUGGGCCCAUCCUGAUGGGGUGUGCAUUUUUUUGGGCUGAACCUGCCUCUCGGGUGUUUUUCCUGGGCCCCAGGAGAUCUUCGGGCCCAUCCUGGCCGUGUUCGUGUACCCCGAGCAGCGCUACCGCGAGGUGCUGGAGCUCAUCGACACCACCACCCCCUACGGCCUCACGGGGGCGAUCUUCGCCCGGGAGAAGGCUGCCAUCGAGGAGUCCCUGCGGGUGCUGCGCCACGCCGCCGGCAACAUCUACAUCAACGACAAAUCCACGGGGGCCGUGGUGGCCCAGCAGCCCUUCGGGGGCUCCCGCAUCUCAGGUGACACCAGGGCUGCUGGCCAGGCCCUCCCCAGCUGUCCCCUGUGUCCCUCCUGUCCCCUGUGUCCCUCCUGUCCUUCCAUGUCCCUCCCAUCCCUCCAUGUCCCUCUUGUCUCUAUGUCCCUCCUGUCCUUCUUGUCCUUCCAUGUCCCCAUCCUCUGUGUCCCCUUGUUCCUCCAAUCCCUGCAUGUCCCUCCCAUUCCUUGUGUCCCCUGUGUCCCUUCUGUGCUCCACGUCCCUCCGUGUCCCUCCUGUCCUCCUUGUCCUUCCAUGUCCCUCCUGUGCCCCGUGUCCCUCCAUGUCCCCAUCCUUUGUGUCACUCCAUGUCCCUCACAUUGCUCUGUGUCCCUCCGUGUCCUUCCCAUCCCUCCAUGUCCCUCCUGUGCUCCUUGUCCUUCCAUGUCCCUCGCAUUCCUUGUGUCCUGUGUCCUUCCCAUCCCUCCGUGUCCCUCCUGUGUCCUGUGUCCUUCCCGUCCCUCCUGUCCCCUGUGUCCCUCCUGUCCCCUUUGUCCCUUGUCCUGUGCCCCUCCCAUCCCUCCUGUUCUCCUUGUCCUUCCAUGUCCCUCCUGUCCCGUGUCC